rnacentral:tRNA from 1 species
UUAAUUGAAACCAAAAAGAGGUAAAUCACUGUUAAUGAUUUAAUUGAGCUAUUUCUCCAAUUAAA